rnacentral:misc_RNA from 1 species
GAUGAAGAACGCAGCGAAAUACGAUACGUAAUGUGAAUUGCAAAUUCAGUGAAUCAUCGAGUCUUUGAACGCACAUUGCGCCCCCUGGUAUUCCGGGGGGCAUGCCUGUCCGAGCGUCAUUGCUGCCCUCAAGCACGGCUUGUGUGUUGGGCCCCGUCCUCCGAUCCCGGGGGACGGGCCCGAAAGGCAGCGGCGGCACCGCGUCCGGUCCUCGAGCGUAUGGGGCUUUGUCACCCGCUCUGUAGGCCCGGCCGGCGCUUGCCGAUCAACCCAAAUUUUUAUCCAGGUUGACCUCGGAUCAGGUAGGGAUACCCGCUGAACUUAAGCAUAUCAAUAAGCGGAGGA